rnacentral:rRNA from 1 species
UGGUGGACUGAUUUGUCUGGUUAAUUCCGUUAACGAACGAGACCUUUACCUGCUAAACUAGGAACCAAAUUACUCAUUUGGUUUCCUUCUUAGAGGGACUACAUGUGCAAACAUAAGGAAGUUAGAGGCAAUAACA